rnacentral:rRNA from 1 species
UACGGAGGGAGCUAGCGUUGUUCGGAACUACUGGGCGUAAAGCGCACGUAGGCGGCGCAGCAAGUCAGGGGUGAAAUCCCGGGGCUCAACCCCGGAACUGCCCUUGAAACUGCAGUGCUAGAAUCUUGGAGAGGUCAGUGGAAUUCCGAGUGUAGAGGUGAAAUUCGUAGAUAUUCGGAAGAACACCAGUGGCGAAGGCGACUGACUGGACAAGUAUUGACGCUGAGGUGCGAAAGCGUGGGGAGCAAACAGG